rnacentral:rRNA from 1 species
AUUGAACGCUGGCGGCAUGCCUAACACAUGCAAGUCGAACGGAAACGAUGCUAGCUUGCUAGCAGGCGUCGAGUGGCGGACGGGUGAGUAAUGUAUAGGGAUCUGCCUAGUAGUGGGGGACAACAUGUGGAAACGCAUGCUAAUACCGCAUACGCUCUACGGAGGAAAGUGGGGGACCUUUCGGGGCCUCAUGCUACUAGAUGAACCUAUAUUGGAUUAGCUUGUUGGUAAGGUAAUGGCUUACCAAGGCGACGAUCCAUAGCUGGUUUGAGAGAAUGAUCAGCCACACUGGGACUGAGACACGGCCCAGACUCCUACGGGAGGCAGCAGUGGGGAAUAUUGCACAAUGGACGAAAGUCUGAUGCAGCAAUGCCGCGUGUGUGAAGAAGGCCUUAGGGUUGUAAAGCACUUUCAGACGUGAGGAAAAGUAAUAAUUUAAUAAAUUAUUACCUUGACGUUAACGUCAGAAGAAGGACCGGCUAACUCCGUGCCAGCAGCCGCGGUAAUACGGAGGGUCCAAGCGUUAAUUGGAAUUACUGGGCGUAAAGCGCGCGUAGGCGGAUAUUUAAGUCAGAUGUGAAAUCCCUGGGCUCAACCUAGGAACUGCAUUUGAUACUGGAUAUCUAGAGUAUGGUAGAGGUGAGUGGAAUUUCAGGUGUAGCGGUGAAAUGCGUAGAGAUCUGAAGGAACAUCAGUGGCGAAAGCGACUCACUGGGCCAUUACUGACGCUGAGGUGCGAAAGCGUGGGUAGCAAACAGGAUUAGAUACCCUGGUAGUCCACGCCCUAAACGAUGUCAACUAGGUGUAUGGGAGUUUAACUCCUGUGUAUCGAAGCUAACGCGAUAAGUU